rnacentral:rRNA from 1 species
UGUGUAGGCGGUUCCUUAAGUUUGCUGUGAGAUCUCCCGGCUUAACCGGGAGGGUGCGGUGAAUACUGAGGGACUAGAGUACGGGAGAGGAAAGUGGAAUUCCUGGUGUAGCGGUGAAAUGCGUAGAUAUCAGGAGGAACACCGGUGGUGUAGACGGCUUUCUGGACCGACACUGACGCUGAGACACGAAAGCGUGGGUAGAAC